rnacentral:rRNA from 1 species
UGCCAGCCGCCGCGGUAACACGGAGUGUGCAAGCGUUACUCGGAAUCACUGGGCAUAAAGCGCACGCAGGCGGGUAGUCUAGUCGGCCGUGAAAGCCCCCGGCCCAACCGGGGAAUUGCGACCGAAACUGGCUGUCUUGAGGGCGAGAGGGGUGAGCGGAACUUCUGGUGGAGCGGUGAAAUGCGUAGAUAUCAGAAGGAACACCGGUGGCGAAAACGGCUCACUGGCUCGUUUCUGACGCUGAGGUGCGAAAGCGGGGGUAGCGAACGGGAUUAGAUA